GCGGGCUUGGUAUAGUGGUAUUACAUUCGUCUCCAAAACGAAUAACGGGGGUUCGAUUCCCUCAGCCCGUG
rnacentral:tRNA from 1 species